UACGUAGGGUGCAAGCGUUAAUCGGAAUUACUGGGCGUAAAGCGUGCGCAGGCGGUUAUGUAAGACAGGUGUGAAAUCCCCCGGGCUUAACCUGGGAACUGCAUUUGUGACUGCAUAGCUAGAGUACGGUAGAGGGGGAUGGAAUUCCGCGUGUAGCAGUGAAAUGCGUAGAUAUGCGGAGGAACACCGAUGGCGAAGGCAAUCCCCCUGGACCUGUACUGACGCUCAUGCACGAAAAGCGUGGGGAGCAAACAGG
rnacentral:rRNA from 1 species